rnacentral:lncRNA from 13 species
AUGGGGUCAGACACACAGGGACGGACAACAGAUGCUCUAGAAAGCAUACAUCAGCCCUGGGCGGGUCCCACAAUGUUCCCAGCAAGCGCAUCAUCAUUGAAAGAACAGACAACACUGUUACAGCCACAUCUUUCACACUUACCUGCCACCAAUAUAAGCCAGCCCUCAGGACGUCUCUCAGCAAGACGUGGUGGUAGGAGUCGGCAUCCAUGCCAGGACACUCGAGGGUGUAAGGACGCACCUGGGUGCCUUCCAUGCUUGUGGGACCCAUGCAUCUGCAUCUUCACAUGCCCACCACAGCCCAUCACUCACACAUGGCUCCCGAGCCAGGGUCUCUUUGCCUGGGCUCCUACUCUGCUCCUCCCUCUGGGAGGCCACACUUCACUACAUGUGCCACAGUGCAUCUGCUCAUGCCUCACUACAUGUGCCACGGUGCCCCUGCUCACACUUCACUAUGUGUGCCACGGCGCUUCUGCUCACGCUUCACUGUCUGUCAUGGUGCCCUGCUCACACUUCACUACGUGCACCAUGGUGCCCCACUCAUACUUCAUUACGUGUGCCACAGCGCUUCUGCUCAAACUAAGUGUGCCAUGGUGUCCCUGUUCACACUUCACUACAUGUGCCACAGCGCCUCUGCUCAUGCUUCACUACAUGUGCCACAGUGCCUCUGCUCAUGCUUUACCACGUGUGCCAUGGCACCUCUGCUCACGCUUCACUACGUGUGUCAUGGUGCCCUGCUCACACUUCACUAUAUGUGCCACAACGCUUCUGCUCACACUUCACUACAUGUGCCACGGUGCCUCUGCUCAUGCUUCACUACAUGUGCCACGGCACUUCUGCUCAUGCUUCACUACGUGUGCUAUGGUGCCCCUGCUCACACUUCACUAUAUGUGCCACAACGCUUCUGCUCACGCUUCACUACAUGUGCCACGGCGCCUCUGCUCACACUUCACUACAUGUGCCACGGCGCCUCUGCUCACACUUCACUACAUGUGCCACGGUACCUCUGCACAUGCUUCACUAUGA